rnacentral:rRNA from 1 species
GAUGAACGCUGGCGGCGUGCCUAAUACAUGCGAGUCGAGCGAACAGACGAGGCGCUUGCUCCUCUGACGUUAGCGGCGGACGGGUGAGUAACACGUGGAUAACCUACCUAUCAGACUGAGAUAACUUCGGGAAACCGGCGCUAAUACCGGAUAAUCUAUUGCACCGCAUGGUUCAAUAGUGAAAGACGGCUUUGCUGUCACUUAUAGAUGGAUCCGCGCCGCAUUAGCUAGUUGGUAAGGUAACGGCUUACCAAGGCAACGAUGCGUAGCCGACCUGAGAGGGUGAUCGGCCACACUGGAACUGAGACACGGUCCAGACUCCUACGGGAGGCAGCAGUAGGGAAUCGUCCGCAAUGGGCGAAAGCCUGACGGAGCAACGCCGCGUGAGUGAUGAAGGUCUUCGGAUCGUAAAACUCUGUUAUUAGGGAAGAACAAAUGUGUAAGUAACUAUGCACGUCUUGACGGUACCUAAUCAGAAAGCCACGGCUAACUACGUG